UACGAGAGGCCCAAACGUUAUUCGGAAUUACUGGGCUUAAAGAGUUCGUAGGCGGCGCAGAAAGUAGGGUGUGAAAGCCCUCGGCUUAACCGAGGAAUUGCGCUCUAAACUACUGUGCUUGAGGAACCUAGAGGUGAGCAGAACAGAUGGUGGAGCGGUGAAAUGCGUUGAUAUCAGCUGGAAUACCGGAGGCGAAGGCGGCUCACUGGGGGUUUUCUGACGCUGAGGAACGAAAGCCAGGGUAGCGAACGGG
rnacentral:rRNA from 1 species